UACGAAGGGGGCGAGCGUUGUUCGGAAUUACUGGGCGUAAAGGGCGCGCAGGCGGCUCUUCAAGUCAGGCGUGAAAGCCCCGGGCUUAACCUGGGAAUUGCGCUUGGGACUGGAGGGCUUGAGUACGGGAGAGGAGAGUGGAAUUCCCAGUGUAGAGGUGAAAUUCGUAGAUAUUCGGAAGAACACCAGUGGCGAAGGCGACUCACUGGACACGUAUUGACGCUGAGGUGCGAAAGCGUGGGGAGCAAACAGG
rnacentral:rRNA from 1 species